UUGACCUCGGAUCAGGUAGGGAUACCCGCUGAACUUAAGCAUAUCAAUAAGCGGAGGAAAAGAAACCAACAGGGAUUGCUCUAGUAACGGCGAGUGAAGCAGCAAUAGCUCAAAUUUGAAAUCUGGCGUCUUCGGCGUCCGAGUUGUAAUUUGUAGAGGAUGCUUCUGAGUAACCACCGACCUAAGUUCCUUGGAACAGGACGUCAUAGAGGGUGAGAAUCCCGUAUGCGGUCGGAAAGGUGCUCUACACGUAGCUCCUUCGACGAGUCGAGUUGUUUGGGAAUGCAGCUCUAAAUGGGAGGUAAAUUUCUUCUAAAGCUAAAUAUUGGCCAGAGACCGAUAGCGCACAAGUAGAGUGAUCGAAAGAUGAAAAGCACUUUGGAAAGAGAGUUAAAAAGCACGUGAAAUUGUUAAAAGGGAAGGGAUUGCAACCAGACUUGCUCGCGGUGUUCCGCCGGUCUUCUGACCGGUCUACUCGCCGCGUUGCAGGCCAGCAUCGUCUGGUGCCGCUGGAUAAGACUUGAGGAAUGUAGCUCCCUCGGGAGUGUUAUAGCCUCUUGUGAUGCAGCGAGCGCCGGGCGAGGUCCGCGCUUCGGCUAGGAUGCUGGCGUAAUGGUCGUAAUCCGCCCGUCUUGAAACACGGACCAAGGAGUCUAACAUCUAUGCGAGUGUUCGGGUGUCAAACCCCUACGCGUAAUGAAAGUGAACGGAGGUGAGAACCGCAAGGUGCAUCAUCGACCGAUCCUGAUGUCUUCGGAUGGAUUUGAGUAUGAGCAUAGCUGUUGGGACCCGAAAGAUGGUGAACUAUGCCUGAAUAGGGUGAAGCCAGAGGAAACUCUGGUGGAGGCUCGCAGCG
rnacentral:rRNA from 1 species